UACGAAGGGUGCAAACGUUGCUCGGAAUCAUUGGGCGUAAAGAGCUCGUAGGCGGUUCGUCGCGUCGGCUGUGAAAACCUGAGGCUCAACCUCAGGCCUGCAGUCGAUACGGGCGGACUUGAGUACUGCAGGGGAGACUGGAAUUCCUGGUGUAGCGGUGAAAUGCGCAGAUAUCAGGAGGAACACCGGUGGCGAAGGCGGGUCUCUGGGCAGUAACUGACGCUGAGGAGCGAAAGCGUGGGGAGCGAACAAG
rnacentral:rRNA from 1 species